rnacentral:rRNA from 1 species
AUUGAACGCUGGCGGCAGGCCUAACACAUGCACGUCGAGCGCGCGGCGGAAGGGUGAGUAAUGGCUGGGAAACUGCCUGAUGGAGGGGGAUAACUACUGGAAAAGGUAGCUAAUACCGCAUACCAUCAGAUGUGCCCAGAUGGGAUUAGCGAGUGGGUGGGGUAAAGGCCCACCGAGGCGACGAUCCCUAGCUGGUCUGAGAGGGUGACCAGCCACACUGGAACUUAGCCACGGUCCAGACUCCUACGGGAGGCAGCAGUUGUGAAUAUUGCGCAAUGGGCGAAAGUCUGAUCCAGCCAUGCCGCGUGUGUGAAGAAGGCCUUCGGGUUGUAAAGCACUUUCAGCGGGGAUGCGUUACCCUCAGAGGAAGCACCGGCUAACUCCGUGCCAGCAGCCGCGGUAAUUC